rnacentral:rRNA from 1 species
CCCUUAGAUGUUCUGGGCUGCACGCGCGCUACACUGACGCACGCAACAGGUGCCUGCUCCGAGAGGACUGGGUAAUCAUUUGAGUGUGCGUCGUGAUGGGGAUAGAAUAUUGUAAUUAUUACUCUUCAACGAGGAAUUCCUAGUAAGCGCCAGUCAGCAGCUUGCGCUGAUUACGUCCCUGCCCUUUGUACACACCGCCCGUCGCACCUACCGAUUGAAUGACUCGGUGAAAAAUUGGGACCGUGAGUCUGUUUGCUUCAUUGCGAGUGGAUUGAUGGGAACUUUUUUAAACCUCGCCAUUUAGAGGAAGGUGAAGUCGUAACA